rnacentral:rRNA from 1 species
UACGGGGGGGGCAAGCGUUGUUCGGAAUUACUGGGCGUAAAGGGCUCGUAGGCGGCCAACUAAGUCGGAUGUGAAAUCCCCAGGCUUAACCUGGGAACUGCAUCCGAUACUGGAUGGCUUGAAUCCGGGAGAGGGAUGCAGAAUUCCAGGUGUAGCGGUGAAAUGCGUAGAUAUCUGGAGGAAUACCGGUGGCGAAGGCGACUUCCUGGCCUGUUCUUGACGCUGAGGCGCGAAAGCUAGGGGAGCAAACGGG